GUGAAUCAUCAAAUUUUUGAACGCACAUUGCACUCCUUUCGGUGAGUAUGCCUGUUUGAGGGUCAGCAUCAAAAAAAUCGACAUCGUCGCUGGUUCGCGGUGAUAUUCGACGGAAAUUGGGUCAUCUUAAAUCUUUGGGUUUUAAGCGUCUUAAAUUUUUCUUUACGAUUCGUCGAUCGUUUCUAAGGUUUACAU
rnacentral:misc_RNA from 1 species